rnacentral:rRNA from 13 species
GCUCUUAAGUGGCUUUGAGAUUAGCGGAACGCUCUGGAAAGUGCGGCCAUAGUGGGUGAUAGCCCUGUACGCGAAAAUCUCUUAGUCAUGAAAUCGAGUAGGACGGAGCACGAGAAACUUUGUCUGAAUAUGGGGGGACCAUCCUCCAAGGCUAAAUACUACUGACUGACCGAUAGUGAACUAGUACCGUGAGGGAAAGGCGAAAAGAACCCCGGAGAGGGGAGUGAAAUAGAUCCUGAAACCGUAUGCGUACAAGCAGUAGGAGCAGACUUGUUCUGUGACUGCGUACCUUUUGUAUAAUGGGUCAGCGACUUAAUGUCAGUAGCGAGCUUAACCGUUUAGGGGAGGCGUAGGGAAACCGAGUCUUAAUAGGGCGAAUUAGUUGCUGGCAUUAGACCCGAAACCCGGUGAUCUAUCCAUGGCCAGGUUGAAGCGACGGUAAGACGUCGUGGAGGACCGAAC